rnacentral:rRNA from 1 species
GAUGAACGCUGGCGGCGUGCCUAAUACAUGCAAGUCGAGCGAACAGAUGAGGAGCUUGCUCCUCUGACGUUAGCGGCGGACGGGUGAGUAACACGUGGAUAACCUACCUAUAAGACUGGGAUAACUUCGGGAAACCGGAGCUAAUACCGGAUAAUAUAUUGAACCGCAUGGUUCAAUAGUGAAAGACGGUUUUGCUGUCACUUAUAGAUGGAUCCGCGCCGCAUUAGCUAGUUGGUAAGGUAACGGCUUACCAAGGCAACGAUGCGUAGCCGACCUGAGAGGGUGAUCGGCCACACUGGAACUGAGACACGGUCCAGACUCCUACGGGAGGCAGCAGUAGGGAAUCUGCCGCAAUGGGCGAAAGCCUGACGGAGCAACGCCGCGUGAGUGAUGAAGGUCUUCGGAUCGUAAAACUCUGUUAUUAGGGAAGAACAGAUGUGUAAGUAACUGUGCACGUCGUGACGGUACCUAAUCAGAAAGCCACGGCUAACUACGUG